rnacentral:rRNA from 1 species
ACUACGGGAGGCAGCAGUGAGGAAUAUUGGUCAAUGGGCGUAAGCCUGAACCAGCCAAGUCGCGUGAGGGAUGAAGGUUCUAUGGAUCGUCAACCUCUUUUAUAAGGGAAUAAAGUGCGGGACGUGUCCCGUUUUGUAUGUACCUUAUGAAUAAGUAUCGGCUAACUCCGUGCCAGCAGCCGCGGUAAUACGGAGGAUCCAAGCGUUAUCCGGAUUUAUUGGGUUUAAAGGGUGCGUAGGCUGUGAGGUAAGUCAGCUGGGAAAUGCCCCCGCUCAACGGGGUGAAGUGCCAUUGAUACUGCCUGGCUGGAAUGCGGAUGCCGUGGGAGGAAUGUGUGGGGGAGCGGUGAAAUGCAUAGAUAUCACACAGAACACAGAUCGCGAAGGCAUCUCACGAAUCCGCGAUUGACGCUGAUGCACGAAAGCGUGGGUAUCAAACAGGAUUAGAUACCCUUGUAGUC